UAGUUGUUUCGUGGGUAGGGCAAUUUCAACCCAACAAAUAAAGUUUGGUAUUCUUUUGUUUUUUUUUCAUUUGAACCCUAAUUGGUGCCACCGUAAACCUUCAUUUCUACUCCGCCGCAAAGCUAGACUUCCUUGUCUUUGUUCUUAAUUUAUAGGUGUUUCAUGGGUAGGGCGAUUUCAAUACUCAAUGAGCCUUAAUCGGCGGUUCGCUUCGGUGCCGGUCCACCAUUCAUACCUCUAAUCCAAAGCUCCCAACACAAAGUUUAGCUUUCCAGAAGCAGCCCCUUUUACAGCCAUCUUGAAAUUCAGAGUCCCUCCCCAAAAUCAUCAAUGGACUAGCGGGGCUGCUCGGCUGCAUUAAAUUAGAUUUUGGUGUCUGCAAUCUCGGCGCCUCUUUGCUUUGUGCUAUUUUCUCUCUUCAAAAAGAGAGGGGGAAAAACAUUUUCAGUUGUAUAAGUUUGGAUGGGUGAUGUCUGCACAAGUCAUCCAACACGUUUGAAACUGUAUCUCAAGUCUGGUUUGAUUGUCUAGUUAAAGUCAACCGCAUAAAAAAACAUAGCUCAUUGAAACCCAAAGAAUCAUCCAACAAAUUAGGACAGUUGUCAAGAGAAGAACCCCUUGUAACCAGUCCGGCUCCAGCCGCCGUUCCUGUCUUUCAUUGAUUAGCCUCAUCUUCCUAAUAGUCUUGCUCAUUUCCUUGAAAAUCCUCAGAAAUUAUCUCAAUAGGAGAGAUGACUACGACUGGUACGAGAAAUUUUAAGGAAAAACGGAUUUCAAAGAGGCUGCGACUGAGUAGACAUGGGCCCAAUUGGUCGGAUCUCCCCCUCGACAUCCUUGAACGUAUAAUUGGAUUUUUGCGUUGGAUAGAUCGAAGCCGGAUACGAGCAGUUUGCAAGGCUUGGUCAGUCCCAAACACUUGUAUUCCUGCUAUUGUUGAACUCCCCUGGGCAAUGAAAUUUUGUUGGCGUUAUGCCUCUUUGUAUCUAAUACAAGGUGAGUGCCGGCUGCUGGACCCUCUUUCCAGAGAGUACCUUGUCGAAGAAAGGAGCAGAGGACUAGAGUAUCUACUUUUCCUUGAUGCACGACCUUGUGCUUCUUUAUAUGGGUGGGUUCUUUUCAAAGUGUACGGCUUUAUUGAAGAAAAAAAAGAGUCCCUCUUUUUGUACUCUCCGUUAACAACUGAGGUAAUUAGGCUUCCGUAUUUAGGGGGACCUCCCACAUUUCAGGUGGCGACGUUUGCCUUGAAUGCAACAUCCCCAAAAUGUACCAUCUUUCUUUUGUGGAGUGAAAAUGGA